CUUUGAGCAAGAGGACAAACCUGGGUAGGGAUCUCUAUGAUGUUUUCUGCGUUGCCCGUGGACGUUCAUCUUUCUGAUUUGUUAGCUGAAGAUGAGGAUCUGGAGCAGGAGCUCGGAGUGCCAUUGUUCCAUGGGCAGAUGUGCAGCAGAGAUUGGUCUUGCUCUGUCAUCCAGGCUGGCGCGAUCUCGGCUCACUUUGACCUCUGCCUCCUGGGUUCAAGCGAUUCUCCUGUCACAGCCUCCUGAGCAGCUGGGAUUACAGGCAGGCACCACCAUGCUGAGCUAAUUUUUGUAUUUUUAGUAGAGACCAGGUUUCGCCAUGUUGCCCAGGCUACUCUCGAACUCCUGGCCUCAUGUGAUCCGCCCACCUCAGCCUCCCAAAGUGCUGGGAUUACAGGCGUGAGCCACUGCAACCAGCUGGAACAAUCUUGAUAUUAGGGUGAACAAGUGAUUUCAUAGCUUUCUCUGAAGGAGGAAACACUGGGAGCAUCCACCCGAGAAUCAACACUGUGGAUCAUUCUGGGGAGUUAAUAGUUUUGAGAUGUGUCCCAAGAUAAUUGUUAGCUUGAAUUACCACGUGGAUGGAACCAUGCUGAUCCUAAGAGCCAGGCCAAGCCUACUGCUGUUAGAAAACAUAUUUAGAAAUCACUUGGUUCUUCCUUGCCUGAACAUCAUCUAUUUAGUUAGCUUGUGUUGUUUAGAUGUGCUUCAGAUCUCAAAAAAAUAAAUUAUGUUAUUUGAAAGCUUGCUCUCUGCUUGUUUACACUAUUAAUUUAGAGUCCAGAGGAAUCUCUAAAUUUGCCUCUAGAAACCACAUAAUCACCUAAUAAUACCUUUCCUGACUCCACUUUCUGACACAAAGUGACUUUUGAAACGCUUCCAUCUUCCCUUUCUAUUUAAUGUACUGCACUCCACUCUUUUUUCCUUUCGUUUUUUCUACAGUCCGUCAUGGAGUAUUUGUUUACCAAAUGUUACUUUUCUUGGAUCCAAUCUAUUUUUGAAGAGCGCAAAAGCAAACAACUGUUUGAAGCUGUCAAGCUUCAUUUUAUUUAUGCAUGAAUAACACAAAUAACUUGAAAAUGACCUAGUCUGUUUUUCUCAGAUUUAGAUAGAAAAACUGCUUCCGGCCAAUGUUUAUGCCAAUUUGUUCAUGCCAAGUUUCCAGUUUCGGUGCCAACCGGUUUUUACAGCCAAGUUGUAAACCUUCGGUAAACAUGGCUUAUAAUGAAAAGUGCAACACAGCCUGAACCCUGGCACCAGGGGACGGAUGUAAAUUUAUUCUAAGAACAAAAUUCUAACAGGAACAGGAGGGGAGCUAGGCUGGCUACAAAGUGUUCCCACCGUAAUAUGGAAAAUGUACAGAUGAUGAUAUAUUUGAUUACUAAGAUCCCAUUAGGCCAAUUUAGGCACUUUAUGUAUUUCCUUUGCUCUGGACGCUGAGUGGUUUCAUGCUCAAUUUGAAGCAACUGGCUCAUUGUCUCAGGGUGGUUCUAGAACUUUGCCUUCAGGUGGGGCUGGGGAGGGAGCCCUGGCAUUUCAAGACAGGAGGGGGUGAUAUGGUUGGGCUCUGUGUCCCCACCCAAAUCUCAUGUUGAAAGGUAAUCCCCAAUGCUGGAGGUGGGCCUGGUGGGAGGUGACAGGGCCAUGGAGGUGGCUCCUUAUGGUCUCACACCAUCCUCCUGGGUGCUGUCAUCCCUAUCGUGAGUUCUUGUGGGGUUGGCUUCUCAUGGUCUGACACCAUCCUCCUGGGUGCUGUCGUCCCUAUGUGAGUUCUUGUGGGGGUGGCUUCUCAUGGUUUAACACCAUCCUCCUGGGUGCUGUCAUCCCCGUCGUGAGUUCUUGUGAGAUCUGGUUGUUUAAAAAUGUGUGGCACCUCCCGCGUUGCUCUCUCUUCCUCCUGCUCCAACCAUGUAAGAUGUGCCAGCCUCUCCUUUGCCUUCUGCCAUGAUUGUAAGUUUCCUGAGGCCUCCCCAGAAGCAGAAGCCACUGUGCUUCUUGUACAGCCUGUGGAACCGUGAGCCAAUCAAACCUUUUUCUUUAUAAAUUACCCAGUCCCAGGUAUUUUUUUAUAGCAAUAUGAGAAUGGACUCAUACAAUGGGUAUGUUCAUCUGCAUUCAUAAAGGUACAGAAAAAGGAAUCAAAUGUUUUAUUUUAACAUCAGUUCAAAAAUGUCCAUCCAUGUCAACCUCUUCUCUCCUAAUAUGUUGCAUCCAGUGUGUCCUUUGCAAAACCUAAAAAAAUUAUAUCCCUCCCAUUUAUAACCCUCCACAGCUUCCCAUUUUCUUCAAGUAAGCCACACACUUCUUCCUGGACCCUCAAGAUCCCCCCUGGACCCCCGAGAAGGCAGGUGUGAAGCCUUUUGUCUAUAAACUCAUCUAUCUCUCUCCACUCCCCAAUUGAGCUCUCAAGGGACACUGACAUCCUUUCUGUUUCUGGAACAUUCCAAGCUGAUCCUGGCUUAGGGCUUCUAGAGGCCCCCUCAGCAGGAAAACCCUUUCUUAUCUCCCACUUGGCUGGCUCCUUCUCUCUGCCCACAUCUCACUCAGACUCUGAGAAGCAUCCCCCCAAAUAUUCCAUCAAAAACAGCUCCCACCCCCACCCUCCAUCCCAAUCUAUCACGUUGUUGGUUUUUCUUCAUAAUGUAUUUGAAAUUGCUCACUUGCAUAUUAAUUUACUUACUGAUCAGAAUGCAAAUUAGAUUCGAAUGUCAAUUUACAACUGCCUGGAUGCUUUUUUACCAUUUUUCAGCCGUAUUCCUAGGACUGAGGUGCACAGAGAUUACUCAAUACAAACUUGUUAAAUGAAAUCAAUGCUUAUUAAACUGAUGUCUCCUGUUUACAGGGAAAAAUGCCCAGUGUUACAGGUGCAGCGAUGGAUGAGCCCCAGUCCAAGAGCUCACGGAAGGGCUGCCUGGGCUGCAUACCUGUGCGUGCAGUCGCAGAGAGCUCGUGUUGGGGUCGCCACAAACCCCCCAGGGCCACAGGGACCCAGGCCUGGACUCCUGGGGGGACUUCUCUGCAGGCGCUAAGGGGUGGGUGGGUGUCCAGCAGGGAGACAGGGAAGAGGGCGACCCACGCCAUACUCACGGUGCUUGUGGCCAACUUGGUCAUGGUUAUGUACCCACGGGACCUGCGGUCCCGGGCAGAGUUCAUGGUGUAGCUGUGGUGAGAGUGAGGCCCUGACUCAGUGUCCUGUUGUGUCCAGGUAGAGCUUACUUUUGAGAAGGGAGCCAAAAGAUUCCUUUUGCAUAAAAAGUGAGACAGUCCAAGCUGGUAGGGAGCUGGGAGAAUGUCAUGGGCUUUGAGAGACCUUCAUCGUCAGAAGGAAAACUUUAAAAAGUACUUACUUCUCAUGAGUAGGAUGAAGUCCAUCACUUCCUGUGUGGUAGAUUUCCUUGGAUAGUCCUGACUAAGUCAGAGCCAAAGGAUUUAGAGGUAUCCAGGUAUCAAAAGAAAACCAAUUUCAGGCUGGGCGUGCUGGCUCAUGCCUGUAAUCCUAGCACUUUGGGAGACCGAGGCGGGUGGAUAACGAGGUCAGGAGAUAGAGACCAGCCUGGCCAACAUGGCAAAACCCUGUCUCUGUUAAAAAUACAAAAAUUAGGCUGGGCGUGGUGGCUCACGCCUAUAAUCCCAGCACUUUGGGGGGCCGAGGUGGGCAGAUCACGAGGUCAGGAGAUCGAGACCAUCCUGGCUAACACGGUGAAACCCCAUCUCUACUAAAGAUACAAAAAAUUAGCUGGGCGUGGUGGUGGGUGCCUGUAGUCCCGGCUACUUGGGAGGCUGAGGCAGGAGAAUGGCAUGAACCCAGGAGGUGGAGCUUGCAGUGAGCCGAGAUCGAGCCACUGCACUCCAGCCUGGGCGACAGAGCGAGACUCCGUCUCAAAAAAAAAAAAGAGAAAGCCAAUUUCACUUCAGGCCUUGCUGAGCCUCCUUACUGUCCUGAAUCCAGGAACCCCAGUUCCACACCACCUGUCAUGAUCUAAAUGUUUGUGUUCCCCCAAAAUGCAUAGGUCAAAAUCCUCACCUCCAAGGUGAUGGUAUCAGGAGGUCAGGCCUCUGGAGGCGAUGAAGUUAUGAGGGUGGGGCCCUCACGAAUGGAAUUGGUGCCAUUAUAAGAGAGGCCCAUGAGAGCUCCCUCACCCCUUCCUCCCUGUGAGGACACCAAGGGAAGGCAGGGCUGUCUAUGAUGCAGAAAGCAGGCCCUCACCAGACACCUGAUCUGCUGGAGCCUUGAUCUCUAACUUACAGGCCCCAGAAUGGCAAGAAAUAAAUGUGUGUUGUUUAAGCUGAGAUGCAGUCUACGGUAUUUUGUUCCGGCAGCCCACAUGACUAAGACACCAGCCUACCAGGCCUUGACAUCACAGCAUCACAGCACAGGCUAUGGCCUGUAGAGGCUCACGUGGUAGGUAGAAGCAAGCCCCUUUCAUCGUGGGCAGGUAUCUGCACCGUGUUAUGUGUUUGCAAGUUUGGAGUCUGUAUGCCAUAGUGACAGCCUGGGAAUGAUUUAGGGAAGAAACAAGGGGAACUGAGGACUGGGCAGAACUGGUAACCUAACCAGGAGAAAUGAUGUGUGCGGUCCCCUAAAUCAAGAGCUUCCCCCCUGCAGGGCCGCAGGUGCACAGGGCUCUGCACUCCCAACAGGAGCCCCUUUUCCCAUCUGUCCAACCAGGGAGUCUGUAAGGCAGCUUUGUUUCUUAGUUUUUGUUUUUAUUUGUGAAGAUGGGGUCUCACUAUGUUGCCCAGGCUGUCUCCUGGGUUCAAGUGAUCCUCUCACCCUGGCCUUUCAAAGUGUUGUGAUGACAGGUGUGAGUUCUUUUGAUCCCUCUCUCUCUCGGCACCUCUGAAUUUGGUUAGGGAGGUAUCUCAACUGUACAGAGAAUUUCAUAGGAACCCUAAUAUCUCGUCCAUUGACAGCAAGUGUCCAUGCACAUAGCAAAAUAUUCUGUCAAACCUCCACUCAGAAAAUUUAGUAGUUUCAUCACUGUUCUCUAACCUUUCAACAAAACACAAAACCUGUUUCUUAAAUAUAACUGUGGAAAAUAUUAGAGAACACUCUGCCCUGUUUUUCUGCCGACACAAAUAUUAUUCUUGUUGGCUGGUGUGGUGGCUCGCAUCUGUAAUCCCAGCACUUUGGGAGGCCGAGGCAGGAGGAUCACCUGAGUUUGGGAGUUCAAGACCAGCCUGACCAACAUGGUGAAACCCUGUUUCUGCUAAAAAUACAAAAAUUAACCAGAUAUGGUGGCCAUGCCUGCAGUUCCAGCUACUCAGGAGGCUGAGGCAGGAGAAUCACUUGAACCCGGGAGGCGGAAGCUACAGUGAGCUGAGAUCGUGCCAUUGCACUCCAGCCUGAGUGACAGAGCGAGACUGCAUCUCAACAAAAUUUUUUUUUCUUGUUGUGAUAUGUGUAUGCACAAAUAUGUGUACCAUGAAAUAUUACUCAGCUUUAAAAAGGAAGAGGAUCUUGCCCAUUUGUGACAGCGUGGAUGAACCUGGAGGACAUCAUGUUAGGUGAAAUAAGCUAGGUGCAGAGACACAAACACCGCAUGAUCUCAUUUACAUGUGGAGUCUAGACAUGCUGAUUCACAAAAGCAGAGAAUAGAACAGAGGUUGCCAGGGUCCAGGAGAUGGGCGGAUGGGGGGCUGUUGAUCAAAGGGCAUAAACUUGCUGUUAUAAGAGGAAUGGAUUCUAGAGAACCAAGGUUCAGCGUGGUGACUAUAGUUUACAACAAUGUACUGUAUACUUGGGAUUUGCUGAGAAAGUAGAUUUUAAGUGUUGUCACGACACACACAUACACAAAGGGAAGGUGGUGGACGUGUUAAUUAGCUUGAUUGGGGUAAUCAUUUUACAAUGUAUAUGUAUAUCAAAACAUCACAUUCUACACCUUGAAUAUAUACUAUUUUUAUUUGUCAAUUAAUCCUCAGUUAAGCUGAAAUACAUUAAAAAAUGAAAUAAAAAAAAAAAAAAAAACUUCUUGGAAUCCCAGGGGAAGAGGAAGAGUGCUGGGAUGUCUCACGACAGCAUGGCUCCGAGAAAGCAUGGCUAAAAGACGCUGCUCUUCCUCGGCUAAGGAGAUUUUUGUCGUUCACUUGUUCAACCGGGGUAAGUUCCCUGUUUCUCAUAGAGCGAUUCUCCUCCCUCAGUCCUAGGCCGCUAAGACGUCAGGGGAGCUGAUACACACUUCCAAGAACACGGAGACAUCAAAGGGAGCUGAGAGUCCACAGCGGCAGCAAAACAGGUGCUGCUUCACAUGCCCUUUGCUAAGAGUCCUGGAGUUUGAAGUCUCCACGGCCGAUCUAAAAGCAAGUUCCUGAGGAAGGAGCCGGAAAGUUCUCUGAAACCAGUAGUGGAAGCUAGUCUCUAAUAAAACAAAAUGUUACCACGCUUCUGGAAAGAUUCCACACAUCAAACAUUGAAUAAAAAGGACAAUUCGAUUAACUGAGGCUGAUUUCUUUUGACAAAUUGACUUUGAAAAGGAAUUCAGAGCAAUAAAAAGGCCACGCCCUGACUUGAAAGCUUUAGCUGCUGGAGGGAGAAUUCACAACGCAUUUGCAAGGGGCUGCCGUAAUCAACAUGUUUGUAAAACAGGAUGAAGGACUGCCCAUAAAUUUCAAACCCAAAUGAGCAGAAAAGCACACAAAGGAGAAAAUGAUCAAUUCAAGGCCCAAAUGCCGGCGUCGUGUAAAACGUAACUCAUUGAACACACACGCGGUUGGCCCGUGUUGAACAUGCGUGACACAGCCCCGUGCAGUGGCUCACACCUGUAAUCCCAGCACUGUGGGAGCCUGAGGUGGGCAGAUCACUUGAGCUCAGGAGUUCGAACCAGCCUGGUCAACAUGGUGAAACCCCAUCUCUACUAAAAAUACAAAAAUGAGGCUGGUGUGGUGGCGUGCACCUGUAACCCCAGCUAUUCAGGGGGUUGAGGCAUGAGAAUUGCUUCAACCUGAAAGGUGUGGGUUGCAGUGAGCUCAGAUCGUGCCACUGCACUCCAGCCUGGGUGACAGAGUGAGACUCUGUGGAA
rnacentral:lncRNA from 1 species